CUAAUUGGAAUUUGGAAUUCCCUAAAGAGCUCUCACUUCUGUGUUCCUUUUCUUCGCAUAAUAACGUUAAGAAACGUUUCAGGAGACAGUUGUUGGAAAGCUUGGAAAACCUCUCCAUUACAAAAGUGGCACAUUCCACAGGAUUAUUCUCAACUUCAUGAUCCAGGGAGGUAAUAUUACAUUUGGUGAUGGAAGAGGUGAGGAUCGGUCUAUGGAUAGAAGUUUGCUGACAAGAACAUUAAGAUGAAGCAUACUGGACCUGGUAGGACUGGUUUGAUUUGUUCCUCAACCUACUGAUUUCAUUAGUCCUGUACGGUUGGUUGUUGUUUUGUUCAAGAUUAUUGAGAGAUUUCCCUUUCCUCUUUGUUGUUUUGCAGUCACAAUUUUUCACUACUUGUCCUAAUAGCAGAGAAGUUAGUACAAAUGAAGUAUAUCUCUGAACCAGUAAGUGAUCCAACUCCAAUUAUUUCUAUUUGCUGGGCAUGUGAGUGUAAUGUUGGAGGAAUGCCUCCCAUCUCCCCUAUCCCGCUCUUUAAAUUGGGAGUUUCGGUUCCUCUUUUGUGAAAUAAAGUUUCUAAUU